GCCGCCAGUCCAUAAAAGGAAAGAAAAGAAGGGGAGGCGCUAGCCCCUUCCCCCUUGCAGCCGUCGACUCUCUCUCUUCUCCCUCUCUUUCAGCCUCCCAAGCAUUAGGUCCAGGAUCUAAAAUCUCUUGCAAAGAGGUUGAUACAAGUCUCUCUCAGAUCUGGAGUUGAUCUGAGAUCGUUUGAGGCACGGGAGAGAUCUCCAUCAACAGAUCCACAGGAAAGGCUGCAGCAGGA
rnacentral:lncRNA from 1 species